rnacentral:rRNA from 1 species
AGUGAACGCUGGCGGUAGGCCUAACACAUGCAAGUCGAACGGCAGCACAGUAAGAGCUUGCUCUUACGGGUGGCGAGUGGCGGACGGGUGAGGAAUACAUCGGAAUCUACUUUUUCGUGGGGGAUAACGUAGGGAAACUUACGCUAAUACCGCAUACGACCUACGGGUGAAAGCAGGGGAUCUUCGGACCUUGCGCGAUUGAGUGAGCCGAUGUCGGAUUAGCUAGUUGGCGGGGUAAAGGCCCACCAAGGCGACGAUCCGUAGCUGGUCUGAGAGGAUGAUCAGCCACACUGGAACUGAGACACGGUCCAGACUCCUACGGGAGGCAGCAGUGGGGAAUAUUGGACAAUGGGCGCAAGCCUGAUCCAGCCAUACCGCGUGGGUGAAGAAGGCCUUCGGGUUGUAAAGCCCUUUUGUUGGGAAAGAAAAGCAGCAGGUUAAUACCCCGCUGUUCUGACGGUACCCAAAGAAUAAGCACCGGCUAACUUUGUG